AACGAACGCUGGCGGCGUGGAUAAGACAUGCAAGUCGAACGGGAACUUCAGCUGUAGCAAUACAGUUGAAGUUUUAGUGGCGAACGGGUGCGUAACACGUGGGCAAUCUGCCGAGAAGUGGGGGAUAGCUCGCCGAAAGGCGAAUUAAUACCGCAUAUGAUCAGCUAAGACAUCUUAGCGACAUCAAAGCCGGGGCAACCUGGCGCUUUUUGAGGAGCCCGCGGCCUAUCAGCUAGUUGGUGAGGUAACGGCUCACCAAGGCUAUGACGGGUAGCUGGUCUGAGAGGACGACCAGUCACACUGGAACUGAGACACGGUCCAGACACCUACGGGUGGCAGCAGUCGAGAAUUUUUCUCAAUGGGGCAACCCUGAAGGAGCGACGCCGCGUGGAGGAUGAAGGCUUUCGGGUUGUAAACUCCUGUCAUUUGAGAACAAGGUGCAUCGGUUAACUGCCGGUGCAUUGAUAGUAUCAGAAGAGGAAGAGAC
rnacentral:rRNA from 1 species